rnacentral:rRNA from 1 species
GGCGUGCGCGUGCUAUACAUGCAGUCGAGCGAAUGGAUUAAGAGCUUGCUCUUAUGAAGUUAGCGGCGGACGGGUGAGUAACACGUGGGUAACCUGCCCAUAAGACUGGGAUAACUCCGGGAAACCGGGGCUAAUACCGGAUAACAUUUUGAACCGCAUGGUUCGAAAUUGAAAGGCGGCUUCGGCUGUCACUUAUGGAUGGACCCGCGUCGCAUUAGCUAGUUGGUGAGGUAACGGCUCACCAAGGCAACGAUGCGUAGCCGACCUGAGAGGGUGAUCGGCCACACUGGGACUGAGACACGGCCCAGACUCCUACGGGAGGCAGCAGUAGGGAAUCUUCCGCAAUGGACGAAAGUCUGACGGAGCAACGCCGCGUGAGUGAUGAAGGCUUUCGGGUCGUAAAACUCUGUUGUUAGGGAAGAACAAGUGCUAGUUGAAUAAGCUGGCACCUUGACGGUACCUAACCAGAAAGCCACGGCUAACUACGUGCCAGCAGCCGCGGUAAUACGUAGGUGGCAAGCGUUAUCCGGAAUUAUUGGGCGUAAAGCGCGCGCAGGUGGUUUCUUAAGUCUGAUGUGAAAGCCCACGGCUCAACCGUGGAGGGUCAUUGGAAACUGGGAGACUUGAGUGCAGAAGAGGAAAGUGGAAUUCCAUGUGUAGCGGUGAAAUGCGUAGAGAUAUGGAGGAACACCAGUGGCGAAGGCGACUUUCUGGUCUGUAACUGACACUGAGGCGCGAAAGCGUGGGGAGCAAACAGGAUUAGAUAC